AUGAAAGAAAAUCCAUCUAUUAUUGUGACCAUUCUCUUAGCAUAUCUUAUUCUGGCCAUCGGUGGAAAAGAAGUAAAGUGUAUCAGACGAGAAGAAAAUACUAGUGGGGUCCCAUUGAAUCAAAAAGUCAAUAAGACUAUUCUGGUUGAUGGAGGAGAUGUUUAUGACUGCAUCGAUGUGAAUCUACAACCAGCCUUGAGCCAUCCACUACUAAAAGACCACAAAAUCCAGAUGGAACCAAGCUCUUUCCCGCUGAGUUCUACCAAAUCUCCAUCGAUGGAAGUCAUCCCACAAGCCCAAUUGGCCUUGAUUGAGUGCCCUACAGGAACAAUUCCAAUAUUGCGCAACAACAGAAGGGUCCACAUGCCAGUAGAAACUAUUGAUAAAGUGAUUACCAAUGAAGAACAUGAGGUUGCAGGAGUAGAGUAUUUUGAUGUGCUAUAUGGAACGCGGGCUAAAAUAAAUAUCUAUAAUCCUAUGGUGAAGAAUAAUAGUAAGGAUCUAAGUGCAUCGUGGAUACAAAUUAAUAAGAUAAUAAAAGCAGGUGUUGCAGAUGGGAUAGGGGCUGGUUCUUGGGUAUAUCCAAGCUACAGUUGUGACAAGUUUGCUAGGUUUCAUGUUGCUUGGGUUGAUGGCUUAAAGACUUGCCCUGAUCAUGAUUGUGGGACUUUCGUGCAAGUUAGCUCAAGUGUUGGUAUAGGAGGAAAACUUAAACCAGUUUCUGUCUAUAAAGGACCACAAUACAUGAUAGAUGUUACUAUUUUCAAGGAUCCAAUGACUAGACAUUGGUGGGUGGCUUAUGGUCCACAAAACAUACAUAUUGGAUACUGGCCAAGGGAAAUUUUCCAUUUCAUGAAGGAUGAAUGUAAUUAUGCAUUAUGGGGUGGAUAUGUUCAAGGUCCGACGGCGUCAUCAGACUCUCCACAAAUGGGUAGUGGCCAUUUUGCUUCCGAAGGACUUGGAAAAGCAGCAUUUGUAAGAAAUAUCGAAAUUUUAAAUAAGGAAAACAAGUAUGUUAUUCCAGAUGACAGGAAAUUUGGGUAUGUCGCCACCAAUUUAUCCAAAUAUACUGCAAAUAGUUAUGUUGAUGGACAUAGCCACUUUGGUGUGCAUACUUACUAUGGUGGACCUGGUGGUUUUGUUUGA
rnacentral:rRNA from 1 species